rnacentral:rRNA from 1 species
UACAGAGGAUGCAAGCGUUAUCCGGAAUGAUUGGGCGUAAAGCGUCUGUAGGUGGCUUUUUAAGUCCGCCGUCAAAUCCCAGGGCUCAACUCUGGACAGGCGGUGGAAACUACCAAGCUGGAGUACGGUAGGGGCAGAGGGAAUUUCCGGUGGAGCGGUGAAAUGCGUAGAGAUCGGAAGAACACCGGUGGCGAAGACGGUCUGCUGGGCAGUUGCUGACGCUGAGGCGCGAUAGCGUGGGGAGCAAACAGG